rnacentral:ribozyme from 1 species
UUUAAAGAAGGAAGCACUGUAAGCAAAAGUUAGACGACAGUAGCUGUUGCAUAUCUGUAGAAUCUCAACAUACAACUGUUGUUGUUGUUGUUCUUCUUCUUCUUUUCCUCCUCCCUUUCAUUUUGUCUCUUUCUCUUAAAAACACACAGC